UCUUUAUAUAGCCAAUUCCACCGCCCUUAGCCGUGCCCUAUGGUGUAAUAUUAAUAUAUUUAGUUGGGGUGACACGAAGUCUUAAACACUUAUUUCCCAAACGAAAGUUUAAGGUCCGAUGACCCGGCUCGCCGAUCAAAAAAUUAAGU
rnacentral:rRNA from 1 species